ANGGGACUGGCUUGAAACUAGUUAUAGGAGGUUCGAUUCCUUCCUUUNUU
rnacentral:tRNA from 1 species